rnacentral:rRNA from 1 species
GAUAAACGCUGGCGGCGCACAUAAGACAUGCAAGUCGAACGGAAGUCCUUAUAAAAAGGAUUGAAGAUUUAUCUGAUUGAGAUUUUAUAACAAUGGCUUUAGUGGCGGACUGGUGAGUAACGCGUGAGCAACCUGCCUACUAGAGGGGAAUAACAGUGAGAAAUCAUUGCUAAUACCGCAUAUGCCAUGAACAUCACAUGAUGAAAAUGGGAAAAGAGUAAUCUGCUAGUAGAUGGGCUCGCGUCUGAUUAGAUAGUUGGUGGGGUAACGGCCUACCAAGUCAACGAUCAGUAGCCGGACUGAGAGGUUGAACGGCCACAUUGGGACUGAGAUACGGCCCAGACUCCUACGGGAGGCAGCAGUCGGGAAUAUUGCGCAAUGGAGGAAACGUCUGACGCAGUGACGCCGCGUAUAGGAAGAAGGUUUUCGGAGUUGUAAACUGCUUUAGACAGGGAAGAACAAGACAGUACCUGUAG